UCGUUUCCUUGCACAGCACACGAUGCCCUGGAGCCGUCCCCUGCUCACCGCCCGGGACACGGUGAGUGUGCUGGAGGUUCUGCACUAUGGACAGCAGCAGAGCCCAGAACAACUUGGAGGCUGUCGUGAAAGCCUCCGUUUGUGAGAUCUUGCUGUGUACAGCUCGACUGCCGUCGUUCCCGUAACACAGCAGCGUUUGCGCUCAAAGCUCCCCAUGUGGCCGCAAUGGGAUUGUGGACGUCUAAAACUGUGAAUAAGGGCUCGGUGAAGAGAUGGAACAAUUCGCGAAGAACGUUUAUCUCCAUGAAGGAUGCCGGUCCCCACAGCAACUGACAGCACGGGAGGGAACUUUGGGCACAGUACGCCGGUCGGAGGAAGUUUCCAUGGAUACACACUGGCAAACAAGAUGAUGAUGCCAGGCAAAAAGAGACACUGAAACAAAUGAAGCACAAGAGGGAGCAAGAAGAGGUGUAAUUGGUUACAGUGGAACAGCAAAGGAGUUGGGAGUGAUGAAGUCUGACAAAAGAAGGCUUUUGUGUCCUUGGAAAAUGGCAGGAGACAAGUUGACUGCAAGGAUGCGGUCAUCUCACCCAUGUACAGUAUGUGCAGGGCUCCUUGCUCCAAGCAACAGCCACAUGCCCUUCACUUCCAAUGGCUGUAAUCCCCUCAUCCUCCAUUACCAGCACCUGCUGUUCGAGGCAAAAUAGGACCUAUACACAGAUGUUCCAACACCCAACCCUAAUGACUUUUCUUCACAUGGAGCCUUAGACAUGCAGUGUUGGCAGACUAUUGAACUUUGAAGGUAUCACACCAAGCUUGAUCCUGUUAAU